AAACAUCGCCUCUUGAAACUUAUAAGAGGUCCAGCCUGCCCAGUGACACAAUUAAACGGCCGCGGUACCCUGACCGUGCGAAGGUAGCAUAAUCACUUGUUCUCUAAAUAAGGACUUGUAUCAACGGCAUCACGAGGGUUAUACUGUCUCCUCUUUUUAAUCAGUGAAACUGACUUUCCCGUGAAGAGGCGGGAAUACAAAUACAAGACGAGAAGACCCCAUGGAGCUUUAAACCCAAUAGUAACCUCUAUCUACCACUACUACUCAAUCAAGAAGGUCUACCUAUUGGUUUUAGGUUGGGGUGACCCUGGAGUAAAACUUAGCCUCCAGGACGAAUAAAACCUAUUCUAAUCCCAGAGCCACUGCUCUACGAAUCAAAAUUUUGACGUAAACUGAUCCGCCUAGCGAUCAACGAACCAAGUUACCCUGGGGAUAACAGCGCAAUCCAUUUCAAGAGCCCCUAUCGACAAUNGGGUUUACGACCUCGAUGUUGGAUCAGGGUAUCCCAGUGGUGCAGCCGCUACUAA
rnacentral:rRNA from 1 species